rnacentral:rRNA from 1 species
UUAAGCGACUAAGCGUACACGGUGGAUGCCCUGGCAGUCAGAGGCGAUGAAGGACGUGCUAAUCUGCGAAAAGCGUCGGUAAGGUGAUAUGAACCGUUAUAGCCGGCGAUGUCCGAAUGGGGAAACCCAGUGCAAUUCGUUGCACUAUCGUUAACUGAAUACAUAGGUUAACGAGGCGAACCGGGGGAACUGAAACAUCUAAGUACCCCGAGGAAAAGAAAUCAACCGAGAUUCCCCCAGUAGCGGCGAGCGAACGGGGAGCAGCCCAGAGUCUGAAUCAGCUUGUGUGUUAGUGGAACGGUCUGGAAAGUCCGACGGUACAGGGUGAUAGUCCCGUACACCAAAAUGCACAGGUUGUGAACUCGAAGAGUAGGGCGGGACACGUGGUAUCCUGUCUGAAUAUGGGGGGACCAUCCUCCAAGGCUAAAUACUCCUGACUGACCGAUAGUGAACCAGUACCGUGAGGGAAAGGCGAAAAGAACCCCGGCGAGGGGAGUGAAAAAGAACCUGAAACCGUGUACGUACAAGCAGUGGGAGCACCUUCGGGUGUGACUGCGUACCUUUUGUAUAAUGGGUCAGCGACUUAUAUUCUGUAGCAAGGUUAACCGUAUAGGGGAGCCGCAGGGAAACCGAGUCUUAACUGGGCGUUAAGUUGCAGGGUAUAGACCCGAAACCCGGUGAUCUAGCCAUGGGCAGGUUGAAGGUUGGGUAACACUAACUGGAGGACCGAACCGACUAAUGUUGAAAAAUUAGCGGAUGACUUGUGGCUGGGGGUGAAAGGCCAAUCAAACCGGGAGAUAGCUGGUUCUCCCCGAAAGCUAUUUAGGUAGCGCCUCGUGAAUUCAUCUUCGGGGGUAGAGCACUGUUUCGGCUAGGGGGUCAUCCCGACUUACCAACCCGAUGCAAACUACGAAUACCGAAGAAUGUUAUCACGGGAGACACACGGCGGGUGCUAACGUCCGUCGUGAAGAGGGAAACAACCCAGACCGCCAGCUAAGGUCCCAAAGUCAUGGUUAAGUGGGAAACGAUGUGGGAAGGCACAGACAGCCAGGAUGUUGGCUUAGAAGCAGCCAUCAUUUAAAGAAAGCGUAAUAGCUCACUGGUCGAGUCGGCCUGCGCGGAAGAUGUAACGGGGCUAAACCAUGCACCGAAGCUGCGGCAGCGACACUAUGUGUUGUUGGGUAGGGGAGCGUUCUGUAAGCCUGCGAAGGUGACCUGUGAGGGUUGCUGGAGGUAUCAGAAGUGCGAAUGCUGACAUAAGUAACGAUAAAGCGGGUGAAAAGCCCGCUCGCCGGAAGACCAAGGGUUCCUGUCCAACGUUAAUCGGGGCAGGGUGAGUCGACCCCUAAGGCGAGGCCGAAAGGCGUAGUCGAUGGGAAACAGGUUAAUAUUCCUGUACUUGGUGUUACUGCGAAGGGGGGACGGAGAAGGCUAUGUUAGCCGGGCGACGGUUGUCCCGGUUUAAGCAUGUAGGCUGGUUGUCCAGGCAAAUCCGGAUAAUCAAGGCUGAGGUGUGAUGACGAGGCACUACGGUGCUGAAGUAACAAAUGCCCUGCUUCCAGGAAAAGCCUCUAAGCAUCAGGUAACAUUAAAUCGUACCCCAAACCGACACAGGUGGUCAGGUAGAGAAUACCAAGGCGCUUGAGAGAACUCGGGUGAAGGAACUAGGCAAAAUGGUGCCGUAACUUCGGGAGAAGGCACGCUGGUGUGUAGGUGAAGUCCCUGCGGAUGGAGCUGAGACCAGUCGAAGAUACCAGCUGGCUGCAACUGUUUAUUAAAAACACAGCACUGUGCAAACACGAAAGUGGACGUAUACGGUGUGACGCCUGCCCGGUGCCGGAAGGUUAAUUGAUGGGGUUAUCCGUAAGGAGAAGCUCUUGAUCGAAGCCCCGGUAAACGGCGGCCGUAACUAUAACGGUCCUAAGGUAGCGAAAUUCCUUGUCGGGUAAGUUCCGACCUGCACGAAUGGCGUAAUGAUGGCCAGGCUGUCUCCACCCGAGACUCAGUGAAAUUGAACUCGCUGUGAAGAUGCAGUGUACCCGCGGCAAGACGGAAAGACCCCGUGAACCUUUACUAUAGCUUGACACUGAACAUUGAGCCUUGAUGUGUAGGAUAGGUGGGAGGCUUUGAAGCGUGGACGCCAGUCUGCGUGGAGCCAACCUUGAAAUACCACCCUUUAAUGUUUGAUGUUCUAACGUUGGCCCCUGACCGGGGUUGCGGACAGUGUCUGGUGGGUAGUUUGACUGGGGCGGUCUCCUCCCAAAGCGUAACGGAGGAGCACGAAGGUUAGCUAAUCCUGGUCGGACAUCAGGAGGUUAGUGCAAUGGCAUAAGCUAGCUUGACUGCGAGCGUGACGGCGCGAGCAGGUGCGAAAGCAGGUCAUAGUGAUCCGGUGGUUCUGAAUGGAAGGGCCAUCGCUCAACGGAUAAAAGGUACUCCGGGGAUAACAGGCUGAUACCGCCCAAGAGUUCAUAUCGACGGCGGUGUUUGGCACCUCGAUGUCGGCUCAUCACAUCCUGGGGCUGAAGUAGGUCCCAAGGGUAUGGCUGUUCGCCAUUUAAAGUGGUACGCGAGCUGGGUUUAGAACGUCGUGAGACAGUUCGGUCCCUAUCUGCCGUGGGCGCUGGAGAAUUGAGGGGGGCUGCUCCUAGUACGAGAGGACCGGAGUGGACGCAUCACUGGUGUUCGGGUUGUCAUGCCAAUGGCACUGCCCGGUAGCUAAAUGCGGAAGAGAUAAGUGCUGAAAGCAUCUAAGCACGAAACUUGCCCCGAGAUGAGUUCUCCCUGAGACUUUAAGUCUCCUGAAGGAACGUU